UGUCUAUCCCUCACCGCGUGGCACCCAGGGCACACUCAGAUAAGGACCUAUUCCCAGUGUGGGCUCCAAUUUAAACAGUUAAAAUUGAACAGAGAAUUUGUACCUUUGAAAAGGGACACUAGGGAAACCCCCUGUCUAUCCCUCACCGCGUGGCACCCAGGGCACACUCAGAUAAGGACCUAUUCCCAGUGUGGGCUCCAAUUUAAACAGUUAAAAUUGAACAGAGAAUUUGUACCUUUGAAAAGGGACACUAGGGAAACCCCCUGUCUAUCCCUCACCGCGUGGCACCCAGGGCACACUCAGAUAAGGACCUAUUCCCAGUGUGGGCUCCAAUUUAAACAGUUAAAAUUGAACAGAGAAUUUGUACCUUUGAAAAGGGACACUAGGGAAACCCCCUGUCUAUCCCUCACCGCGUGGCACCCAGGGCACACUCAGAUAAGGACCUAUUCCCAGUGUGGGCUCCAAUUUAAACAGUUAAAAUUGAACAGAGAAUUUGUACCUUUG